UAUGUCUGUUUCUUCGCAUAUGUAUGAAGAAAUUUAACGGAUUUGAUACCUCUGCUUGAAUUAACUGUUGAAAGAUUUACUGAAAAGUCUAAUGAAAUUGUGAUUGAUUUCAGUUUGAAGUCGUCGUGAACCUGUGAUGAAGGUGUUCAUCCUACCUGAUCUUGCUUUCACGUUGUAAUUUUUAGUUUUUGGAUUCUGGUUGUUCGAAUGAUUAGAGAGUUCUUUGUUCAAAUUUGUGUAGCUUAAUGGGUCUUGGAGAGCUGGAUGCAGACGAUCAAUGGUCUAGUUAACGAAUAGCCCUGUGCCAUAAUGAUAACUUUAAUUUGAUUACAUCAUGAUCCUGCUUGUCUUUGAAAAUAGUCUUUGUUGGUGAAAUCAAGAAUGGACAGAAGGAGGAGGAUAUCAUAGUACUCAAGCUCUUCCACAUGCGAGUUUUGUUACACCUUCUGGAGGCUGUUGGACUCAGGUAAGCUCAAAAUUUAUUGCUAUCUUACCUCUGUAGUCUCUGCAACCAUAUUUCUGCAUAAUCUGGCUUUCAUGAAGCAGUUGUUUAAAGGGUUCGGAAUAAAUGGCUAGCAAAAUGCUGAGCCAAGGAUUGCGCUGUUAAAACUUAG